ACUCCUACGGAAGGCAGCAGUGGGGAAUUUUACGCAAUGGGGGGAAACCCUGACGUAGCGACACCGCGUGAGCGAAGAAGCCCCUUGGGGUGUAAAGCUCUGUCAGCUGGAACGAAAAAAAUGACGGUACCAGCAGAGGAAGCAUCGGCUAACUACGUGCCAGCAGCCGCGGUAAU
rnacentral:rRNA from 1 species